UUCACCCCCACCGCCGCCGUCGCUCCGGCCAGCAGCGCGAGCGCCGCGCGGCGGGAGACGUCGGCGUCGUCCUGCUUCUGGGCGCGGCAGACGAGGAGGUGGGUCCGUGUCGCCGGGGACGGGGAGGCGACGCGCGCGGCGACGCGGGCCGUGGACUGGUGGAGGAAGCAGGAGGUGGACGCCAUUGCCGGCCGGUGGGCUGGUGCCUCGCCGCUGAUUGCCUGCCUGAGAGUGGAGCGGGGUGUAGUGUGGUGGAGGGAGAGGGUGAUGGGGCGAGGUGGCGACGGGAUAACGAAGAGGAGAGCGCAGUGGGGGCGCGGCGGUGGCGAGGACUUGUG
rnacentral:lncRNA from 1 species